UGGGGAAUUUUGGACAAUGGGCGAAAGCCUGAUCCAGCAAUGCCGCGUGUGUGAAGAAGGCCUUCGGGUUGUAAAGCACUUUUGUCCGGAAAGAAAUCCUUGGCUCUAAUACAGUCGGGGGAUGACGGUACCGGAAGAAUAAGCACCGGCUAACUACGUGCCAGCAGCCGCGGUAAUACGUAGGGUGCAAGCGUUAAUCGGAAUUACUGGGCGUAAAGCGUGCGCAGGCGGUUUGCUAAGACCGAUGUGAAAUCCCCGGGCUCAACCUGGGAACUGCAUUGGUGACUGGCAGGCUAGAGUAUGGCAGAGGGGGGUAGAAUUCCACGUGUAGCAGUGAAAUGCGUAGAGAUGUGGGGGAAUACCGAUGGCGAAGGCAGCCCCCUGGGCCAAUACUGACGCUCAUGCACGAAAGCGUGGGGAGCAAACAGGAUUAGAUACCCUGGUAGUCCACGCCCUAAACGAUGUCAACUAGUUGUUGGGGAUUCAUUUCCUUAGUAACGUAGCUAACGCGUGAAGUUGACCGCCUGGGGAGUACGGUCGCAAGAUUAAAACUUAAAUGAAUUGACGGGGUCAUAGCUGUUUCCU
rnacentral:rRNA from 1 species